GUGAUCACUUUGGCAACACAUAUAUUAAAAUCGGAACGAUACAAAGAUUAGCAUGGCCCCUGAGCAAUGACGGCACACAAAUUCAUAGCCAAAUAGGAAUGGGGU
ensembl:snRNA U6 U6 spliceosomal RNA